AACUAGUCACGAGAACAGAAAUCUGUUCAAAGCUAUGAUUAAAUCAAUCGAAAGGUUCCAUUCAAAAGUGGCACGUCCUUUAGAAAGUUUUAAAAUAAAGAAGCGAGAGGUUCCUUUUAGAAUUUAAAAAAAAAAACAUUUCAAUUUAAGCCAGGAAUUUUCUCUGUGUGCAGUUUAGUUACAAAAUCUAUGACAGGUUGCAGGCAUUUUCCUUGAAAAAUAAAAAAGACCUUGCCGGUGUCACCUGACAUCGCAAUUGAGCAUGCAAAUAAUGUGAAAUCUCAGUCAUCAAAUUCCUAGCGGAAGUUUUGCUGUCUGUGAAAAAGAUGCAAACAAACAGCAAUAAUUUACAGCAAUAAAAACAAUAGCAGUCAUCACAACUAGUCAACAGAACUGAGAAAGUAUUUUUAUGUGUUAGGUUCACCUUGCAGAGUUGUCAUUUAUUUUUCGGUUGCUGUUUUUCAACAACCAAAAACCAUAACAAAAUUAACCGUUUAAAUACCUACACCGCAUCUAUACGGUGACAUAUCAAGUACAGUUCUUGUUAAUUGAAGUAACAUUAAAUUUCCUUUAAAUUUGUGUAUCGAAAUGGCAAAAUUUAUUUUAUGCACAGUGUUUGUGGCGUGUGUUUUAUUACUGAAUUCGAGUGAAUCGUCCCAACAAUUAAAGACGAACUUUGAAAAUGCACUAUCAAAACUGCAUAUAAAUACUUUGAUGAAAGAACAAGUUCCAUGCACUUGUGGAGUAUUCUUAACCGGACAGUUCAAGCGCGGAUCAAACGAACAACCGAAAGGAAACCCAGCCCUCAUGUACGAACAAGA